rnacentral:lncRNA from 1 species
GUAUUGUCCUCGGGUUUUAUUUUCAUUGUGUCAAGCUACAAUGGGACUUUGAGCAUCUAGUUCUUGUCUACGGGCACCAUUCAACAGGAAAUUGAUUUCCAUGGGUGACAGGCGUGGAGGCUCCAUGGGUUCCGGGGCGAGGUACACGCAGCAGCAUCAACAUGCUGUGGGUCUCUAUUCCUUUUCUUCUUGGGCUGGGGCUCUCAAAUCCUACCUGCCUUUUUUUUACUGAGCCUACAUCUCUUCCUCCUGAGCAUGAAGACAUUGGUGCUCAAGUGUAGUCAGCGUUUCCCAUGAACUGUACCUGGUUCCAAAUUAGGUGAGUGCUAAGGAAACAGCAAGCACAUGUGGGGUGGGGGACAGAGAUUUUACAGAGAAUAACUGAUGACGCAUCACCAUUGACAGGAGCCUUAAGGGCAAAACACAGUGCUUGUCAGUUCACGUUUGUAUGGUCUUGGAGAAGAGGCAUUUUCAGGCUCUGCAUCAUGAUAGCUAUAAUAAGCUGAGUUGAGAGACUUCAAUACAUGCCCAGCUAUGAGUAUGAACACUGAUGAGAAAGCUUGUGUGCCUACUCACAUUCAUUUCAUACAAGUAGACACUUAGCUCAUUCAAAAAUACAGCUGGCAUGAUAAGCUUUUGAGAGUAUGAAAUACAUAUGAGGGUGUUCAGUUUCCAGUCAGGGUUAUGCCAUUUUUAAUGGCCAUAUACUUACCCUGUCUGGUGCAUUUAUUCAUUUUCAGGCCAAACUAGAUUCAAUGAUUUUCGUCAUUUUUUUUCACCUCUGUUGACAUUGUCUGACAAGACUGUUCAGGCUCAGACUGCUUAGGAAAAAUAAACUUUGGUGCCAGAUUUUGAGCCAUCAGCAGUGUUCCCUCUCAUCUUUAUUCUAUUAUUCUGUUGCAAAGGAACUUUCAGCUCAGGAGCCACAAUGGAAAGAAAACAACCAGCUCUUUUUUCCUUCUUUUUUCCCUCCCCCUUUUUCCAUCUUGUGAUCUUAACCCAGCUGGUGAGGGAGAAAAUUCCCAUGUGAGGCAUGUGGGUGGAGCCCAAUUGUGUAAGCUCCAUGCUCGCAAAGUGUUUGGCAUGGAUCUGCUCGCUCGCUUUGUUUUCCAUGGCCAGACACAGGGGGAAGCCACAUUCAGCACAUUAACAGCUGCCACCUGUUGCUCUGUGCUACUUCAGAGGAACCCUGAGGCUGGAGAAUCACACUGUGCUCUGGCCCUUGAUCUCCAGGGAAGUUUGGUAUAGCAGGGAUGUGCAUCUGUCCCCACGUUUUUCCUGCUUUUGCAGGCUUCCGCAGGACAUGAUACAGGUGGGUUUGGGAGCCCAAACAGAGAAGAGGUCCUUGGAGCAACCUGAGCACUGCUUUGGUGCAGGUCACUAGGAAGAAUUUUCAAGCUCCUUUUGAUUUGGCUGUCCU